rnacentral:lncRNA from 1 species
GGGCGUAGAAUGGGCCUCACUAGUCUUUCUCUUACAUCGUACCAGGGGCGUAGAAUGGGCCUCACUGGUCUUACAUACCAUACCAUAUCAUAUCAUAUCAUGUCAUCAUACGAGGGCUAAUGGAUCAUUCAACACCCAUCCACAUCAACAUUAUAUUAUGCAAUGCAACAUAUUCGUGAAUUCUAGUGCAAACAACCUAAUAUAUCACAUGUCAUUCGUGAUGCAUGAACAUGCUCGAAAUUUAU